UUAAUUGAAGCCAAAAAUAGAGGCAUAUCACUGUUAAUGAUAAAACUGAAUAUUAAUUCCAAUUAAG
rnacentral:tRNA from 1 species